UACGGGGGGAGCAAGCGUUGUUCGGAUUUACUGGGCGUAAAGGGCGCGUAGGCGGCCAGCACAAGUCAGCUGUGAAAUCUCCGAGCUUAACUCGGAAAGGUCAACUGAUACUGUGCGGCUAGAGUGCGGAAGGGGCAACUGGAAUUCCUGGUGUAGCGGUGAAAUGCGUAGAUAUCAAGAGGAACACCUGCGGCGAAGGCGGGUUGCUGGGCCGACACUGACGCUGAGGCGCGAAAGCCAGGGGAGCGAACGGG
rnacentral:rRNA from 1 species